rnacentral:misc_RNA from 1 species
GUGAAUCAUCGAAUUUUUGAACGCAAAUUGCACUCUCUUCGGAGAGUAUGCCUGUUUGAGGGUCAGCCUAAAAAAAAUCGACAUAGUCGCUGUUUCGCGGUGACAUUCGUCGGAAAUUGGGUCAUCUUAAACCUUUUGGUUUUAAGCGCUUUAAAUUUUUUUUUGAGUUCCUACAAAUUUUCCAAAUUUUU